rnacentral:lncRNA from 1 species
UUUAUUUUCAAAAUUAAAAAAAUAAAAAUGAAACCCUCAAACCUUUACCCACCUCUCUUAUUCCUCUCAACCCUUUUUCUCUCAUCUCUUUCAUUCUAACCAACCUUUUCUUUGUCAUCCCUACUCUAGCUCCAAUUGAAAAAAAAUCAGAAACACUUGCCUUAUUUUAAUAAUUUUCAUUCUCAAAACUAAAAAAAAAACCCAAACCCUUACUCACCUCCUUCAUUCCUCUCAACCAUUUCUCCUUCAUCUCUCUCACUCAAACAUUUUCCCUGUC